rnacentral:rRNA from 1 species
GACGAACGCUGGCGGCGUGCUUAACACAUGCAAGUCGAGCGGUAAGGCCCUUUCGGGGGUACACGAGCGGCGAACGGGUGAGUAACACGUGGGUGACCUGCCCUCAGCUCUGGGAUAAGCCUGGGAAACCGGGUCUAAUACUGGAUAUGACUCCAUGACGCAUGUUGUGGGGUGGAAAGCCUUGUGCGGCUGAGGAUGGGCCCGCGGCCUAUCAGCUUGUUGGUGGGGUGAUGGCCUACCAGGCGACGACGGGUAGCCGGCCUGAGAGGGCGACCGGGCCACACUGGGACUGAGACACGGCCCAG